rnacentral:rRNA from 1 species
GAUGAACGCUGGCGGCGUGCCUAAUACAUGCAAGUCGAGCGAACGGACGAGAAGCUUGCUUCUCUGAUGUUAGCGGCGGACGGGUGAGUAACACGUGGAUAACCUACCUAUAAGACUGGGAUAACUUCGGGAAACCGGAGCUAACACCGGAUAAUAUUUUGAACCGCAUGGUUCAAAAGUGAAAGACGGUCUUGCUGUCACUUAUAGAUGGAUCCGCGCUGCAUUAGCUAGUUGGUAAGGUAACGGCUUACCAAGGCAACGAUGCAUAGCCGACCUGAGAGGGUGAUCGGCCACACUGGAACUGAGACACGGUCCAGACUCCUACGGGAGGCAGCAGUAGGGAAUCUUCCGCAAUGGGCGAAAGCCUGACGGAGCAACGCCGCGUGAGUGAUGAAGGUCUUCGGAUCGUAAAACUCUGUCAUUAGGGAAGAACAUAUGUGUAAGUAACUGUGCACAUCUUGACGGUACCUAAUCAGAAAGCCACGGCUAACUACGUG